rnacentral:lncRNA from 1 species
UGGGGUCAAAACUAUAAUUUGGCAUUAAAAUUAGAAAGAUCAUAUCAUGGGGAACAUGUGUACUAAGUUUCAAGUUGAUUGGACUUCAACUUCUUCAAAAUCUACCUUGACCAAAAACUUUAACCUGAAGCGAACGGACGCACAGACGGACGGACGAACGAACGAACGGAGGCACAGACCAGAAAACAUAAUGCCCCUCUACUAUCGUAGGUG